UUAACUUUUAUAUUUUUAUGGUACGUCGGACUGACUUUGCAAUUGAGUGGGGUUGUGGGUAAGGGACCUCCCCCGAUCCCCCAUUUGGAGAGGGUUCGGGGAAGCAACAUGGAGUGGUACGCCGAGGUGUAUGAAGGUUAAACCAGUCCCCAGCUUCGACAACGCAGCCGACACCCCCAGGUAGUUCCGUCAGCGCCAGCCGGCAGGGGGGGUGUCUCUCAGGGCCCGAUGGAGCCCAGUAGGGAUCAGGUGGGUGCGCCGCCCCACAGCCCUAAGCCCAUACUUUCUUUGAGUUGGUGAGGGGAGGGGGCGAGGUUCGCUAUUACUUAACCCAAGAUCUUAUAAUGAUCCUUCCGCAGGUUCACCUACGGAAA
rnacentral:misc_RNA from 1 species